rnacentral:rRNA from 1 species
GACAGAGGGUGCAAACGUUGCUCGGAAUCACUGGGCGUAAAGGGCGUGUAGGCGGGAAGGAAAGUCAGAUGUGAAAUCCCUGGGCUCAACCCAGGAACUGCAUUUGAAACUCCCUUUCUUGAGUACCGGAGAGGAAGGUGGAAUUCCUGGUGUAGAGGUGAAAUUCGUAGAUAUCAGGAGGAACACCGGUGGCGAAGGCGGCCUUCUGGACGGUAACUGACGCUGAGACGCGAAAGCAUGGGGGAGCGAACAGG